rnacentral:rRNA from 1 species
AGCGAACGCUGGCGGCAGGCCUAACACAUGCAAGUCGAACGAACUCUUCGGAGUUAGUUGCGGACGCGUGAGUAACACGUGGGAACGUGCCUUUAUGUUCGGGAUAAUUCAUGGUAAUUUGUGCUAAUACCGAAAGAGCCCUUCUGGUGCAAGAUUUAUCGACGUUAGAGCGGCCCGCGUCGGAUUAGCCUGUUGGGGAGGUAAAGGCCCAUCACGGCGUCGAUCAGUAGCUGGUCUGAGAGCAUGAUCAGCGACAUUGGGACUGAGACACGGCCCAAACUACUACGGGAGGCAGGAGUGGGGAAUCUAGCGAAAUGGGCGAAAGGAUGAAGGAGCCAGGCCGCGUGAAUGAUGAAGGUCUUAGGAUAGUAAAAUUCUUUAACCGGGGACGAUAAUGACGGUACCCGAAGAAGAAGCCCCGGCUAACUUCGUG